rnacentral:rRNA from 1 species
GAGUGAACGCUGGCGGUAGGCCUAACACAUGCAAGUCGAACGGCAGCACAGUAAGAGCUUGCUCUUACGGGUGGCGAGUGGCGGACGGGUGAGGAAUACAUCGGAAUCUACUUUUUCGUGGGGGAUAACGUAGGGAAACUUACGCUAAUACCGCAUACGACCUACGGGUGAAAGCAGGGGAGCUUCGGACCUUGCGCGAUUGAAUGAGCCGAUGUCGGAUUAGCUAGUUGGCGGGGUAAAGGCCCACCAAGGCGACGAUCCGUAGCUGGUCUGAGAGGAUGAUCCGCCACACUUGGACUGAGACACGGUCCCGACUCCUACGGGAGGCAGCAGUGGGGAAUUUUUGGCAAUGGGCGCAAGCCUGAUCCAGCCAUACCGCGUUGGUGAAGAAGGCCUUCGGGUUGUAAAGCCCUUUUGUUGGGAAAGAAAAGCAGCAGGUUAAUACCCCGCUGUUCUGACGGUACCCAAAGAAUAAGCACCGGCUAACUUCGUG